rnacentral:rRNA from 1 species
GACGAACGCUGGCGGCGUGCUUAACACAUGCAAGUCGAACGAAGUGGCGAACGGGUGAGUAAUACGUGAGUAACCUGCCCUCCUUUUUGGGAUAAGCCUUGGAAACGGGGUCUAAUACCGAAUAAAGGGGGAUGGGCUCGCGGCCUAUCAGCUUGUUGGUGGGUUGAUGGCCUACCAAGGCGGUGACGGGUAGCCGGCCUGAGAGGGUGACCGGCGAGAUUGGGAAUGAGCUAAGGUGAAGACUGCGACGGGACGCAGCAGUCGGGGAUGUUGCGCAUUGGGCGAUGAGCUAAUGCGGCGACGCCGCGUGGGAGAUGUGGGCAUUCGAGGUGGAAACGUCUUUGGCUAACGAACGGGUGGGUGGGGAAGAAGCGCCGGCUGACUACGUGCCAGCAGCCGCGGUAAUUC